rnacentral:lncRNA from 1 species
UGAAAUGAAGUUCUCAGGGCCUUCCCAUCUAUGACUACACAUUCAGCUGGAUGGGAUUAAGUGAAUUUCCCAGCAGAGAAAGCAUGGGACACCAUGGCGCCUUCUGCUCCAGAGCCACAUGCAGAAUGAAAGAGUGCAGGGCGAGAAGGACUUCUCUGCCAGGGGACCCUGGGGAGGAGGAUGUGAUGAGGUCUGCACUGCUACUCCACAGCCCAGUGCUUUGUGGGAAGAGAAGCCAGCUCAUCUCUGGGACCAGUAUCAGAUGGGCCCUGUCAUCGCGCUGGUCUCUCCGAACGCCUCCAGUUCUGGUGCUUCACUUCUGCUUGACAGACAAUAACUGAACAUACGCUCUGACUCUCACGCUGUGCAGAGAGAGAGGGAAGCACUGCGAGGGAGAGCGUUUUCUUUGGAGUCAAAGGAUGGAGGACAGAUUCCGGUUCAGCCGCUUAUUAGCUGUGAGAGAUGGGGUUUAUUUAUUCUCUCUAGGCAUCCGUUUCCUCGUCUGCAAAAGCAGGGCGGUAAUCAUCUUUCUAUUCCAAGAUCACUGUGAGGAUUCAAUAACAGUGCAUCCGGAGGGCUCUUCCAAGUUCUGGGCACAAGGCAGGCUGAAUAAAAGGUAGAUCAUCAUUGCUGUUAUUCCUAGGAUUGUCGAAAUGAUGUUGUGGCAAUCCACAGUGAAUCGAAGGUAAAGUGAUCAACGAUUUUACAAUUCUGGGGUGUAAAAAAUACCUAACAGAGCUUAUUUGGUUAAUAUUUUAUCUUGUUUAUAACAAUAAGAAUGAAAGGCAUCUUUUUGUCUGAACUGUUUCAGGGAUUUUCGGGAAAUAGCAGAGGGCAUCAGGAUUACAGGCAGUGCACACUGACCCCCAUUUCCUCCCCACUGCAGAGCAUACCACCCCCACCACCCCCAUGCAGGUCACGCAAUGUUACACAGUUGUCCACAGGCAACAUGCAGGACCAUUUUUAAGCUUCAUAUAAAAUGAUAUCACUUUAAACAUAUGAAGGUGACAUGUGCUGUUUUUGCUCAAUAUCAUGUUUUUGAGAUUUAUCCACAUGAACACUUAAAGAUCUAAUCCAUCCAUUCUGCUAUAUUCUUCACAAUUUUACCAUCAUUCAUUCUUUCUUGCUUUGCUGGACAUUUAGGUCAUUUCCAUUAUCUGUGUUACAGAAAGAGGUAGUCAGCAAUGUACAUUUAUAUGGAUUUUCUUGUGUACAGUGAGUCUUUGGGGGUAUUUACUCAGAGCUGCUAAUAUGUAGAAUAUACAUGUCUUUAACAUCAGGUUCCUUACCAGCUCUUUCUCAUCUCUAGGGUCUCCAUAUGUCGAUGUGCCUUGUAGCUCAGACCUCUUAGCUUCACACUCUUCUCUUUUACAUUUGUACUCAAGGAGUAUUGUCUGACCCAAGGUCUUCAAUUUCUGGGACUACUGUUUCCAGCCUGGACAUGCCCCUGUGGUCUAGAUUUAUGUAUCCACUUGCUCACUUAAUAUCUCUCUGCAGACCUAAAGGACAGAUAACAAGCAUUCUAAGUGUUCACCAAUGGUGUUUC